rnacentral:rRNA from 1 species
GUGGGGAAUCUUAGACAAUGGGCGCAAGCCUGAUCUAGCCAUGCCGCGUGAGCGAUGAAGGCCUUAGGGUUGUAAAGCUCUUUCGUGGGGGAAGAUAAUGACUGUACCCCAAGAAGAAGCCCCGGCUAACUCCGUGCCAGCAGCCGCGGUAAUACGGAGGGGGCUAGCGUUGUUCGGAAUUACUGGGCGUAAAGCGCACGUAGGCGGACUGGAAAGUCAGGGGUGAAUCCCGGGGCUCAACCCCGGAACUGCCUUUGAAACUCCCAGUCUUGAGUUCGAGAGAGGUGAGUGGAAUUCCGAGUGUAGAGGUGAAAUUCGUAGAUAUUCGGAGGAACACCAGUGGCGAAGGCGGCUCACUGGCUCGAUACUGACGCUGAGGUGCGAAAGCGUGGGGAGCAAACAGGAUUAGAAACCCUUGUAGUCC